rnacentral:rRNA from 1 species
GUGUCAGCCGCCGCGGUAAUACGGAGGGUGCGAGCGUUAUCCGGAUUUACUGGGUUUAAAGGGUGUGUAGGCGGGCUGUUAAGUCAGUGGUGAAAUCCCCGGGCUCAACCCGGGAACUGCCAUUGAUACUAAUGGUCUUGAAUCCUGUUGAGGUGGGCGGAAUAUGUCAUGUAGCGGUGAAAUGCAUAGAUAUGACAUAGAACACCGAUUGCGAAGGCAGCUCACUAAGCAGGUAUUGACGCUGAGGCACGAAAGCGUGGGGAUCAAACAGGAUUAGAUACCCUGGUAGUCC